GUUAUUUUCCUUUCAUUUUAAUGUGAGCUUUGUGAUCGAGUGUACGUGAUCAAUAAUUGUAGGUUAGGAUUGUUUACGCUUUAGUAUAGAUGAAAAUUCUUCCUUCUGUAAAAUGACAUUUCAAGUUUUAAUCAAUGAAUCGUAUCAGUAUAAUUAUCAGUGACACCUGCUCUGACAGAAUUUAAGGUAUCUCUCAUAAGAACAAAGUCACUUUCCGCUUUACUCCGCUAUUUCAAACAAGAGCAUAAAAUCAUUAAAUUCAAGCAGAGCACUUGAGACGAGGAGCCACAAGCUGUGGUUGUUAGUUUAUCCUUUUAAUGUAUGUUGGCCCAAUGUUUAAUUAAUAUUGGACUUGGAAUACCUCAGUGCAAUUGUGGAAAAUGUAAACAGUCUCACAGUAUUCAAUGCAGUGACAUUAAGGUGAGAUCAGCUGAAGAACUACAAGCAGAGGUGAAGACACUUCCCAGUUUUCAGCAUUAUCUAAAAGUCAGCCAUAUGAAGGUUAAUUGUAACAGGUCACUAACAUGAAUGUGACUGAUGCAAUGCAAGAAUACUGGUUGUAACUGUAUGUGAGUAUGUAAAGAAUGAAAAUCCAUGUUUCAGGGUAAUUCACUGUGCGAGUUUCAUUUUUAAGCAUCAUCUUGUCAUUACAGCACCCACUGUCUUCUUCCACAAAUAACUAAUUUAUCUACUUUCAUUCUGUCCUGAAACUGAUGUGUGAUGGUUGCUCGUAACUUGUUUGUGGACACACUCUUGCCAAGAUCAAGAGAUAAUUCUAAACAUAAACCCUAUUUAAACAUUAUCUAAACGCUGAUAUUUAUACAGUAUGCCAUAGGAAUGUUGUUUCACACUCAUGCAAGGCAAUUCUUGAUAUCUGUCUGAGGAUUUGCUGGUAUUUAGAGGUCCUGUGGUUAAAAGGUUAAUGAGAUAACAGUUGAAAAACAGCAUUGAACUUAUCUUAUAUAAUCCUGUAAGGAAAUAAAUAGUCCUGUAGGACAGUUUCCUUUAGCCGGUUAAAUGUCAUUAGGGCUGGUGACUAAGUGGAUGUCUUGGAAUGAAUAAUCAGUCAUAUACUCUGUAAAUAGUCCAUCGGCCUUGUGGAUAUUGAUCAGUCCUCUGUGACUAGUAGAUUGAUUUCUGGCAUGGUAAUUGAUUAAAGGUAACCUGAUUUUUAAAAUAUAAUAUUAGUGCAUGUGAAUAUUUCUGUCACCAUGUAUUUACAUGCUCCAUCCAGGUGACAGUGGAGAGUCUUAAGUCCUUUUGGUGAAGCUGCUGUUCAUACCGCACUUGGAUUUUUCUUCUUCUUCUAAUUCAAAGAUAAAGAACAAGGGCACAAAAUAUUCUCAAUCAUCAGCUUGAGGCAAAAAAAACCCUGUGUUCUUCAAGGCCUUUCUGUAACUCUGCUGGCCUGGGAUUAGAUCUUGCUUGUGUUUUGCCUCCUCUGUAAUCCCUCUCAGCAGUCUGCCUCAAUAAAAGAAAAAAAAACACUGAGGGGUGUGGACAAACCAGUCAAGAUAGAAAAAAUACUACUAGAGCAGGAAGCCAAACAAAUGUUUUGUAGGGCGAUUUAAACCCGUCCCAAAAAUAACAAUCACCUUUCUUUUGAAUGGAAACUGACAUCAGAUUCUAACUCGACCAUGGCGUGUUUUUAACUCUUCAUGUAGUAGCAUGUGCCUCAUUCAAUUGAAUCCUUUUUAUGGAUCAUUACAGUGUUAUUGGCUCGUUACUCGACUUAGUCUGAGAAUAGUAUUUGAUACAUAUGAAAACAGUCUCAUAGUGUUAAAUGUGCAACCGAGUUUUAAAACAAUCCCAAUUUAGGGUGAAACUAUGCUUCUCUUGUCUGUAACAGCCUGUGAUUACGAGAUUACAGAUCUCUCCCGGUGUCUACGAUUGAAGUUUUUGCUGAUUCUUUUGCUGUUUUAAGUCUCAAACAAGAAUAUUACAUAGUGAAACCUCACUUUAUUGUCUUUAGUUUUCCUUCCUCUCCUGUCUCCUUCUCCUUGUUACCACGCUAGCUGAGUUUUUUCCCCUUAAUUGUCCCCAGUUUGUAAUGUAAUUUUAGCCCGCUCUAUGAAUUAUGCCCGCUUAAUUUGAUUGCCAUGUGUGAGAAUGUCUGUAAGAUUAUAGAGAGACAAAAUGAAAAGGGCUUCUUGUGCUGUAACAUCUGAAAUUGCUGGCCAAGCAUGUGAUAAUGUUUAGCAGAACCCUGACUAUAAAAGUUCUUUUUUUUCUUUUUCUCCUUUUUUCUCUUGCUUUUACUUUAAGAUAAAUAAUUUAUGUUUUCAUGGGAUUAGGUUUUAGGGAUGGUUUGCUAGAAAGCAAAUUAAGAAACAACAUGUUGCCAUGUUUUCUAACAGUUAAGAAGUUCUGUGUGUGCCUGUGUGUGUGUGUGUGUGUGUAUACACUUUUGUAUAGUGUCUCGGGGCUAAUGUGACCACCUCGCAGGCUUUGUGCUAAAAAGAGGUCAGAGGUCUCUGUUGUGUUUUCAGGGUGACCUGCUAGUGACUAUUAGCCAUUGAUAAAUGUGAUGUCCCACAAGUGUGCGGCCGGACCCCUCCAAAGGGGGAGGUGUCAUAACACGCCCCACACUAACCUCACAGCCAACCCCACCUCAAACUACACACACGCAAACACACACACUCUGCCCUGCUGACAGGAGCACAAGGGGGCAGCUGCUACAGAUGUAGAGGGGGAGGGGAACCGAGGAGACAUCAAUGGAGAGUCUCUCUCUAGUGUGGAGUUCUCAGUGGGGCUCAUUGUGUUCUCUAAAGACCAAGACAAGGGACUAGACCACAUUAAUAUAGUAAGCCCUUAGUCUCUCACACUUUCUUUCAGGGUGUUGUGCACUUCGACUCUUCUUCAGUUGUUUCAUGCAUGUUCAUAAGGAAGUGUGUGUUGCAGUCGUGUCAGUUUACAUAGGUUGACAUUUGCUAUGAACUUUUUUCUCCCUUCACUCUGCUUUGUGGCUUAUAUGAAUAAUAAUUUAGUGGUAGAUGUAGUGUGAUUUAAUACUAGAAUUGCACUCAGUAGAGCGUAUACCUCCGCCAAGGCCCAUCAGUCCCCUUAAAUUAUAACAAGCCUUAUAGCUAAGGCAACAUGACGUCUCUCAGCUACACAUUGGUGGUAGUUGCAGGUUUGCAGUUCCAUUUGUUACCAUGCUGCACCUGAAAAAAACCUAUGAAACCACAUUGAAAUCCACCAGAUCCAGAUUCUUAAUUGGAUCCAGAUGAAAUUGCACACACUCAUCGAUACCAAUUCACUAAAUAUCAAGUUUUUUCAUCAACAUUCACACAUAAUUCUUUUGAACCAAAAAUGUUGAAGGAUGUCCUAUCUUGCAAUUGUAAAGAAAGUGAAAACAAAUUCCUGGAUACCCCCACUGAUCCAGAUCCACACCAAAGAUUAACGGGUUCAUCCCUGACCCUUAUCCAUCAGGUAGCUUUUGUGAAAUCUUGCUAACAAGCAAACAAACACACACACACACACACCCACAAACGCAGACUAAAACAACCUCCUUGGUGAAUAUGUAGUAAUAUGUAGUAAUGAUGAGCAUCCUAUAGUUCUCCUAUAGAGCAUUUUAGGCAACACCUAAUGCUACCAUGAUAAAAGGUGAUUUCAAUGUGUAGCACUCGCUCAACAAGAAUUAAAAAAUUCUCCGGUUGCAAUUUGACAUGUUCACUGUGAGCUGUUAGUUUAAUGUUAGUCUCCUGCAGCACACCGGUGCUUAUGCAUGGUUUAGUUUCACCCCUGACUUUAAUUAAUGUUUUGGGGUAGAAUUUAGUCUUUUUAAAUUCUUGAAUGCAUGUCUGGAUUUGAGCUGUUGCCACCGUCUAUUUCCCCAUCAUUUGUAGAGAUGCAGUCCCAUGUCUUGUGUUGUGAAGUGCUACCUUUUGGGUUGCAUGAGGGGGGGGGGGGAAUAAAACUCCUCCUUGAAUAAGAAGCAGCUGAGUGUAACAGCCAUCUAUGCAUGCAAGUCUUCUCAACAUGAAAUCAAAUUACAUUGAACUAAAACUGCCCCAGCGUGGCAACUUUGCAGCCGGGUUACCCCGCUGUGCCAAACACCACGACACAUGACACUGUGGCUCUUGUUCAGCUCGACUACUGGAGGACAAGGGGAGAGCCCCGCUCGGACUCGGCGCUCCUAAUGAAGAGAUGCAUUAUGAUGUGAUUUCAUUUGGGCCUACAGGAAAAGUUGCAGUGGAUCACAGAGCCGUCUGAGUAGCGUAGCUCAUUUGUGUAGUAACAUGUGACUUGUGUUUUCGUGAGUCAUAAGGGUCUCCUGCCUAAUGGAAGGCAGUGUGUGCUCAUGUGACGGUGACACAAUGCCGGAUGGACCGUAUAGUAUUCAACCAGAGCUCAGCCUGGCUACUGCUUUUACUCAUCAGUAUAUUUUAAUCUUGUUUUUGUCAUAGUGAAACUAAGCAAACGAUAUUUCUGCUCAUGUUAUCAAUAGGGUUUAGAUGUACAAGAGGUUUUUGACCGAAUGCAAAUCUGCAAGUCCUGCAUGUGUGUAUCUGCAGAUAUUAGCGCAUGUGUGCAUGUGAAUGUGUGUGUUUUGUCUUUGAGUACUGCAUCAUGAUCUUCCCUAUGGUCACGGUGGUGUUUUUGCUGGCUCAUCCCUGCCUCUCCACAUGCCUGUUUAACAACACAGAGCUCCUCCUUACUGGCUUCCUGUCCAAACCAGUUUAUCUGUAAACAAGUGUGUUUUUUUCCUCUCCGCCCCAUUGUCCACACCACACCAGAAUGCAUACACAAUGGGCGCCCUCUCUCUCACAGGCAGCUUUUGUACUGCAAAGUAGAAAACAUCAUGUUUUUUACUACAACACGCAGCUACAGCGCUAAGAAAUAACAUGCUUCUUAUAAAUAUAAAGUUUCAAAAAGAUUACCGUGAAGGAAAAAGUUGAAUGUAUCUGUAAUUUUGUCAAUGUUUUUCAUAGGUAAGUAGAAAUAAUAAGUUGCGUUCAAAGAUAGGUUCUUAUAAAAAAAAGAAAAAGAAGAACAACUGAUGGCAGGUUGCAGUUAAUUCUUUUUCCAGUGAAUCCUGGUGGAGUCAACUACUGGUAUAGCAGGAUAAUGUUAUGUAUUGUUAUUAUGUGUGCGUUGGGAUGAAAUGGCUGUCUCUGUUUACCUUGCUCGAGGUUCACUAUGCUACUGUAGAUAUUUUAAGAGCAGGGUCAUAGUGGCAAAGCUCAGGCUGUCCGGCCUUUGGUGAUAAAUAGCAGUAAUGUGUGUGUAUGUGGUUUUGCCAAGCUGGACCUAAAGUGAGAAGACGUGGUUAUGACACAGAACGUGUCUCCUUUAAGCUGGAGAACCAAGUCGCUUUGAAAGGUGCAGACAACAAAUCAGUCAAAUGUCAAAGAAAAUGGCCGGCCACAGAAAAGGAAACUUACUUGAAAGUAGAAUAUCACUGAGUGGAGCACAUACCUCUGCCAAGGCCAAACAAUCCUACACAUGUCUGUCUAGCUCUUCUAAUAGAAAAAGAAAAAGGAAGUAGUCUGAUAAUCUGUACAAACUCAUCGACCUCUGCAACAUAAAUGUCUGUUUUUAAAACCAGGAUCCUUAAAAAUUCAUAAAACCUGGUACUGGCCCUUUGAUUUAAUCUACACCAAAUUUGCAUGGGUUCUUUCUUGGCCCAUGCCAAGUUCUGCAAAGUUUGGUGCAAAUUGGUUUUGCAUAAUCCCGCUGACAAAAAAACAAACAAACAGACAUAACAUCCUUGGCGGAGAUAAUUAGAGAGGGCCAUAUGAUGUCACAGCAAUUUUAGAUAAAAAAAAGCAGUGUCCUCAUUUACACUGUGGAAAAUAAACCAAUACAGAGGGUUUUUCAAAUGAUAUGAUCGAGGAGAGGACAGAAAGAGAAUACAACUGAUAACCUGACGUCUGUGUUAGUCACUUUACCUCAGUGAUUCGGAGUCAAACCUCUGUUGCUUUUUGUUCCCUGAUGUCAUUGGGUUCACAUCCCCUUGGCCUUGGUACUUGUUGACCUAAUAAUACACAUAUAAGAGAUAUUCUGCUUCUGUCAUCUAUAGCUGCAAUAAUGUGUUUUAUUUGGAUAUUAUAUGACUGUUUUUGAACUAUUGUGUUAAGAUAAAGACCCAUUUCAGUAGACAGUCACAGUGUUUGUAUCACGUAUAGUUUAAAACUAUUGCUGUGCAGCGCUGUUCCGCACCCACAGGACUAUAUGUAUAUGUGUGAUUUAUAUGGAAAACAGUUUUUAUACAAUUUGCUAUAAAAGAUGUUUUGAAAUCUAAAUUGGGAAUAGUGUGUUUGUGUGUGUACAUUUUAAAAGUGUUUUCACUCACUUACAAAAACACAUGUUAAUUUGUACAUAGGACGCCCCCUGGUAAGGAAAAAUCAGUGAGUGAAAGUGUAACAGUAGUGAGCCAACACAAUUUAAUCUGGGUCAUCUGCAGAACAGUGCAUUUUAAACCAUGAGGCCAAUGGCAACUCUCAAUCAUUGCUGUUUUGCUGUGGAUAACUAUUCAUAUGGUCCAACAGACAUUUAUCACACUAACAGACACAGGCCUGUGGAGUGUAGACAUUUUUAUCCACAGGUGGUAAGAAACUUGACAAAAUGAUAAUGUUUGGUACAAGGUUAAGUCAAAGAAUGGAUGCACCUAAAAUGCAUAUUAUGUCUAAAUUACAAAGACACCACAGUGCUGUGUGUGGGUGUGGUUUCUGCCAAGCUCCUCCUAAAGUUAUGACAGAAAGUUUCAUUAAAGCUGGAUAACCAAGUCCCUUUGAAAGCUGCGGAAAUCAAAUAAGUAAAAGUGCAUUUAAUGCUUAUGUUGUUCUCGAUUGAUAGUGACUGUAGAAUCUAAUGAUGCCUGACUUUCAUGAACCUAUGAUUUCUCUCAAUAUUAUACCACAGACUUUUGUGUUGUGUGACUUGUCAAAGCUGCAUGUUGUUAUUUGUGCUUCUGCACAGUGGUGGCAUUAAUUUCACGAAUCCAAAAAUGCAGUUUUCAAUUAGUUUUAGAGGUAAAGUUUGAGUGAAAGUCGGCAAUCAUUGCUGUUUUGCUGUGGAUUACUUCAUAGAUGUGGUCCCAUAGAAAUGUAUCACACUAACAGACACAGGCCUGUGGAGUAUAGACAUUUUUAUCCACAGGUGCUAAGAAACCUGACAAAAUGAUAAUGUUUGGUACAAGAAUAAGUCAAAGAAUUCAUGCACUUAAAAUGCAAAUACAGUAACGUGUAUGUUUGUAUUCCAAAUACACCACAGUGCUGUGUGUGUGGUUUUUGCCAAGUGAGAAAAAGUGGCUAUGACACGGAAUGUUUCCUUUAACCAAGUCUAUUUGAAAGCUGCGGAUACAAAAUCAGUAAAAGUACAUAUAAUGUUUAUCUAGAGGUAUUGUGAUGCCUGACUAUAGAUGAUUUUUGAUUUCUCAUAAUAUUCUGCCAUAGACUUUUGUUUUGUGUGACUUGUCAAAGCUGCAUGUUGUUAUUUUUGCUUCUGCAUAGUAGUGGCAUUAAUUCAAAUUAAAUAAAAAACUAGUUUUAGCCAAUCAUUGCUACUUUGCUGUGGAUUACUAUAGAUGUGGUCCCACAGGCAUUUAUCACGCUGAUAGACACAGGCCUGUGGAGUGUAGACAUUUUUAUAUGUUUGGUUCGAGAUUAAUACUAAGAAUUGAUGCACCUACAGUGCAUAUAACAUGUAUGUCUGUAUUGAAAAUACCAAGUGAGAAAUAGUGGUUGUGACACAGAACAUUUCCUUCAAGCUUAAGAUGAGCAAAAGUGCAUUUAAUGUUUAUGAGGGAUUGUGACUAUAGAACCUCAUGAUGCCAUUAGAAUAGGCUUCCCAGGACUUAUGAUUUCUCUCAAUAUUCUACCACAUAGUUUUGUGUUGUGUGACUUGUCAGAGCUGCGUGCAUCUGCACAGUGGUGGCAUUAAUUCCACAAUUUAAAGACGCCGUGUUAAAAUAGUUCUUGUAGUGCAAUCUGAGCAGAAGUGGCCGCGGCACGCGAGGGGUUAACGCGCUGCGGUGGCCUGCGAGAUCAUUCGAGAGUGCAUUUUCACCGGCCAAUCAGCGGCGCGGAAUCCACCGCCCGCUCGGCCAAUCGCGGCGAUGGGAGGCUCUAUCGAAUUUGAAUGAGGAGUGUAUCUUUCGGCGCCAUUUUCGAGUGAGCAGCGAUCGGCUGAGCAGCUGCGGGGAGAAGAUGCUGCGAACACGGAGCCGCCGAGACGAGCCAGAGCCAGAGGAACCGAGCGCUCAAAAUCCAAACUGCGCCUUUCCCCCCUUCUUCUUCCCCCUCAAAGCAAAGGGAGACCGCGCGUUUUCAACAGAGUUUUGAGCGGGAGGUGCAGAGGCAGCCAGGCUGGAGCGGAGCAGCAGCUCGGGCGGCAGUGUCAACACAUGCACACGGUACCUCCACCGGCCUGGGAGGGAAAAUAAAAAGCCCAACGAGGGGCAGACACAGUGCCUUUUGUGGAUAUGAGGCACUGGACAGGUGAUGUGGACCAUAGUAUCCCAAGACUAUUACAUGGAGAUUUGUCACACCCCAGAGAUCUGAUGUUAAGUGAAUCAACCAGUACAACAUGUGUUGGCUGAGGCAUAAUUAUUUGACUUUUUGAUAAGCCUUUGCAGGACCUCUGCGACAAUUUAACAGCAUUAGUUGUUAAUUAGCAUAAUUUCCGUAUACAUGAUUUGUUAUUUACUAGUUACACCAAAUUUAGCAAAGGUCAUGCCCAAUUUGUUCAAAAGAUGAUUUUUAGAUGCUGACUUUAAUUUGUAAAUUUGGUUUCAAAUUUAAACUCUUGAUGAAGUGCUUCAUUUUCAUACCAAACAUCUUAUAACAGGUUUUUUUGUAUGCUAUCGUCGUAAGAUAUUUUUAUGCUGUGGUAUAAAUAUUGUCCGUGAUUAAAGGUUCAGGCUCCAACUCAUUAAUUUGAAAACGGGGGGAAAAGCACACUGCACACGCUGGUCCUGACUGUCCUCUCAAGUGUCUGAGUGUGGACAGAAUUGUUACACCCGUGUUCUCCACCUUUGUUUGUCAACAUAUUUCAGCUGUAAUCAUUAAGGUUUAUCACCAAGAAUCUGCAAAAAUCUACAAAUUUUUAAUCUCUUCUUGACCUGCUUGCACCGAAUAUUAACUGAGAUAAGCAACAACUUGUAUAUGCUGAAGCUUUUGUUCGGGGAUGAAUGUACAGCAAGUAAAAAGGGCACUGGAGGUGUAGUUAAAACUUGUAGGCUUCAUAGAAUAAUAAAUUAACGAUUGCAGUUUAUUUAGCAACAUACCAUUUUCUAAACUAAAUCACAGGUCUUUGACUUCUGGCCCAUGCACAUUUUAUCAGUUUAUUGUGCCAUCUAUCAGUGAACUUGUUUUGUUGCAUGUUAACACAAUUAAGAGCCGUGACCAAUUUGGUGUUUGUGGGAAACCUCCAGAGUAAACAACAAAAUGUUUCUACAGUUACAAAAUUGUAAUUAUUUUCUUUUCUCAAGAACAUGAAUGAAAUGCCCUUUUCUUUUUUUGUAUAAGUUUUCACAAUAUGUGCUGUAUUUAUUUUAUAUCUUUUUGAGGGACGUAUGCACGUUAGAUGUCAUUAGAUUGAGGCUCUGUCCAUUUUAGACCAAGGUCAUGAUUACAGGUCCAUUGAGACCUCUAGUGGCAACACAAGCUGGACCCAAUCUCAUGCAUGAUUACUAUCAAGAUUCAGUUUAACACGUUUAUGCACAAACAAGGAUUUGCUUUUUUUGUUUUUUGUUUUUUGUAUUAUAAACAGUAGUCACUCACAAUAGCCAAAAUAAAGGGCUAGUAUUUUGAGGAGGUACCAUUGAAAUGGUUCAGUUGUCCCAUAUGAGGUCAUGUUUUUACAUUUUGUAAUCUAAGGUUUUUUUAACAUAGUACAGAUGUUUCGGUUGAGUGCAACGGUGAAGUGAUUAUAUUUGAACCCAAGCGUUCUCAACUGUUAUUGAGAUUCUCUCUCUGACAAGUCACCAUCUUUUUAAACCUGGUCAAAUCUGUCAAUAGCACCAAUGUGUUAUAAGGGCAUGAAGGAUGUCAUAGUAUUACAGUGGUAAACUGACAGUGACUUAAUUCUGAUGCAAAGUGCCGACUGAUAAUUUUUUCCCUUUUGUUUAUGCAGAGCUUAGCCAACACUGAUUCUAUUUUUUAUUUUUUUACCUUAUGUAAAAUCAUUUCAACUUUUGGCUAUGCCACUCCAUUUUUCAAAUUGGCAGUCAAUGAUGUCUUUCACCCCCAAACAUAGUUGUUUCUGCUAAAAAACAAUCUUGCAAUAUUGAACUGUAUAGCGAAGGAGUCUGCACAAGUGCUUGGACAGGAGUGUGAAAUUACUUGAAUAUGCUAUAUAUCCGGUAUCUGGACUUAAGUGUGGACACCAGAACCCGUUGGGGGUAAGGUUGGAUAAAAAAUGUUAAUGAUUUUGGGGUUAGAUUUGGUCACAUUGGCUGAGCUACCACAUAGUUUUUGUCACUGCAGUAAACAAAAUUAAAUUUUUUUAGAAAAUUGUUUUUCUGAUUUUGGAAGUACUUGACAGUGCUCUGACCUCAACACCAUUGGAAGCAGACAUUGAGCCACAUAUCUCUCAACAUCAAUGUGUGAUCUCACAUUUUGGCUUAAUUGGUCCAAACCUCGUCAGUGAGGUUCAAAAUAUUUUUAAAUGCUUUCCCAAAAGAGUUGAGACUGUAACAACAGCUAAGAUUGAAACAUUCUGGUGUCCACUUAGUUUUGGUUAUAUAGUGCAUUGACAUUGAGUACUGUCUUUACUGAGUACUGUCUUUUUUGUCUGUGUUUCAGAUGGAGAUCCUGUUUUUCUGAAACUUCUGCAAGUCUGCAAAAGACACUGACCAUCUGAGUGUCUUUUAGGUAGAUCCAUAAUAGGUAAUAAGUAUUUACCAGUGUCUGAACAUGUGGUAAAGACUUAAGGCCUGGAAGACGGAGAAGAGUGUGCAAUCACAAAGAUGAGAGGAUUUGGAAGCGGAGCGUCCAGGACAGCAGAUCUGGUGAUGCUGUAGCAGCACGGAAUGGUUUGUGGGUUGUACUGAGAUGCAGGCCAUACUGUGCUGCAGCAGUAAAACCGGAAAUUACAACCUGGAUGUCACCGUACACAUUCCAACCUUUUUCACUGUUUACAAUCACAUCUGCAUAUACAGUAGUCUCCAUCGUCUGAAGUGAUACUACAGAGUUGUUCCUGAUAUCAAAAGUGAUCACCCUCAUCUGCUGGUCGUUUUACUGUAGCAGCACGUAAAUAUUGGAGUUAAGACUUUUGCUGAAGCCUCCAAUAUUGAUCGUGCUGCUGUAGCAAAACUGACCACUUGCAUCCAGUGCAGCUAACGGUGGCUUUUCUCACAGGUAUGUUGUUUACUCACCAAUUGUAUUUGACUGUUAAAACAUGUAAAGGUCUUAUUUUUACGUUUCACUGUUCUGUCUGUGCACUUGCAAAAAUAAAAAAAUUUAAUCGGA